AACGAGGAGAGAGAGAGAGAAAGAGAGAGAGUAUUCUUCUCCCCAUCUUACCCGCCGUUCGCCGCUCCUCCUCCUUCCCUGCGGCGCGUGAACUCGGUCCUCAGCCUCCACCGCUAUUCUUCCUCCCUUCUCCUCUCCUUCUCUUCUAUCUCCAAGGUUAGAGAGAAAGCUAGAAGAAGACCAGUGCCGACCUCUUCUCCCUCGCCCUCCGGUUCCCAAGCCCUCAACCGCGUCGCCCGGUCGGCUCUCCUUUUUUCUCCUCUCUCAGAGCUCUCGUUUGAACUCUUUUUCUCACUCCUUGGGUCCUCCGCCGCUGCGAACAAGGCUUCCCCUUUGGUACGCCCGUUUUCCGGCGGUUUUCGCUUCGGAUGGAGCCUUGGAGGACCCAGGUUUGAUACUUCUCUUCUUUCCCCCAGCUUUUGGUAAGGAUUGGAGGAGACCCCAUCUUUUGAUCCUUCCCUGGGCUGGAUUUCACGGUCAUGGAAAGGUUUUUGCUCAACCUAAACCCUUUCCGGUUCAAGCAGACGGUGUUGAUGAGAAGCCCUGUUUCGCUCGGUUGAGUUCUUUGAAAAAGGUGAUGUUUUGGGGGGAUUGUUUGUUUAUUUGGCGCUUUUGGUUCAAAAGAUAGGUGUGCGAGCGAGCCUGGUUCUUAGAUUUUUGGGGGGUUUUCCCGUUUGAAUCCGUUGACUUGUGGAAACCCUAGCUACUGACUUGAGGUCUCUGAGAUUUUUGCUCGAAAUCUCCUGAAGUUGUUGCCCUUUUGUCGCCCCCUUCUCCUCCUGAUUCUGAUGAAAACCGCUGGUUCUGAGAUUUUUGUGCUCGUUAAGCUUGAUCUUGUAGGGUCCCAUACGUGCUCUGGAAUGCUACUUUGAUCUGGUGUUGGAGUUGUCUACUGCCACGAUGUCAGGAAACAGUCCUGAUUUUGUGAAGUGGAGGGAGGAGUUCAUCUCACAGGAGCGUGGAAGCCGAGUCGUCCACUACUACUUGGAAGACUCCAAGGGAGAUUCCCAUCUUGCCGUUGUUGGCACCGAAAGGAGCCUGAGGCAUAUGCUUUAUGUGGUUUCGGAGCAGUUCUGUCAGGCCUACGGGCCUGACAAGUCGGGGGUCUCUUGCCUCAAGUGGAGAUCGAGAAGAGAGGUCGUAGAUUGGCUGACUUCAUUCCUUCCAGCAAAGACCUGCACCCCAAGUAAUUCAAAAUCAGCAAAAUAUGAGGUACCACAAUCUUUGAUUGCUGAUGUGGAGGUGAAUGGAUUCAAUGAGACAGGAGGAUAUCUAUUUAAACAUACGGAUAAAGGCCACAAUUCAGACAUUAUGUGGUCUGGUGUUUCCUGGACUUGUGGCAAACAGCUUCGGCAUUACCAAGCAUUCUGUCGCAAUGGAACCACCAUAGCUACCCAUUCUUUUGUUCUUGUCAUGUCUGAGGUGGUCAACCGCUAUCUUGCUUAUUUAGAAGAUAUGUAUGAAGACAAAAAAGGGCAGAAGAAGGUUAAAGUACGAUGGUUUCAUCAAAAUCAAGAAUUUGCUUGUACAAUACCCCCACCUACUCCGCAUCCCAGUGAAGUCUUCAUCACACCUUACUCUCAAGUCAUCAGUGCAGAGUGUGUGGAUGAUAUAGCUACUGUUUUAACUCCUGACCACUAUGAAAAAUGCGUGGCUUCAUUACCAUGUGCUUCUACAGCAGGAAUCCGUUUAUGCUUUCGGCAGUACAGCAAAAACAAAUUCAAACUCUUUGAUUUAACAACCUUGCGUGGAUAUUUUGAUCAGGCAGUUCUUGCACGAGUGGAUAUAAGCACUAUGUUUGGGAAGGAAGAGGAAGAAUCCGGUCAUGGAAGAAUCACAAAACGUGCUGGACCCAAAAGAAUAAGGUUCAUCAAGGGGCACCAGAAACUUUCGGCGGACCAUUUAGCUGCAAAGAUGUCGGCCUGCAGACCAGCUUAUGAAAACCUAAGGUAUGAGUUACCUGGUAGAAGACCACUGUCGGUAAAAUUUGUUGGGCCACGCAAUUGGCCUACCCCACCUUUUAAGGUUGGUGAGAAGAUAGAGCUGCUCUGUCAAGACAGUGGCAUCAGAGGCUGCUGGUUCAAAUGCACUGUUUUGCAAUUGUCUCAUAGGAGGUUGAAGGUUCGAUAUGAUGAUUUGCAGAAUGUCGAUGGCUGUGGGAAUGUGGAGCUACACCCUGAUGUUGUUCAUGUGUUACUUGCAUAUUUUUAUUCAUCUGGAAACAAAUGCAUAUAUGUAGAUUUGGCAUUGGCAUCGGUCACCACCACAAGUGACCACCACUACCUCGCCACAACCAAUGACUGCUACCUCCUCCAAGGCUGCUGGCUUCCAGGUCAGACAGAAAGUUUGUGUUGUGUAGGAAUGGAUCCCUGCCUUCAGACCAGCAGCUCCUGAUAAACUGGGCAUGAGAUGCUCAGGCCGCCUAACAAUUCGGCCUUGUCCUUUGUGUGAUUGUUUACUCAAUACUGUUGCUUUUCUUAACGGAACCCCUGUGGAUGCGUGGUGGAACGAUGGCUGGUGGGAAGGAGUUGUGGUUGGAACAGACAGCUGUGAAGAUGAUCGUCUGCAAGUAUAUUUUCCAGGUGAAGAUGUCUUCUUAAUAUGCCAGCGAAAAAAUUUAAGAAUUUCUAAAGACUGGGUAGGGAAUCAAUGGGUCAAUAUCCAAGCCAAGCCAGAUAUCUUGUCAGCAAUAUCUUCAGUUAGCCGUGGGGCAAAGCUGACUGCAUGCUCAAUCUUCACCAAGGGGGCGGAAUCCGGUGGUUCUGCGAUGUCAGACCAAGAACUCCUCGGUACACAGGCCAAUUCCAAUGAAGAAGAUAAGCAAGCAGAAGCCAGCUUGAGUGAUAGAACCGACCUAGACACAAAGCAAGUUAAUUCAAGAAAGCGGCCGAGGGAUGAAGGUGCUGAGGAAGUCUCCGAGGAAAAGGUAGGCAUAGGUGGUGAUGAGAGUUGAAGGCUGGCAAUUGUAGUUGGCACCGGGCUUGCUUUCAAGUUUUUUUUUUUUGUAUAUAGACACGGUAGUAUAAAGUAUCGUAUACAAACACGAUCAUGUUACUUUCUGGGGCCAAGUUGGCUGCUCUGUAAUUAGGAGAACCAUGGAGUUGAACUGACUGAAGACUUGGUGAUCUUUGUAGCUUUAGUUGAAGCUUUUGGCAUUUUGUUUAGCAAUUUAAUUCCAGAUUUAGACCA